GUAAAAUUAAAUAACUACACUUAGGAAAUCAAUUACAAUUUUGCAUCAUUUCUUUUUUUACAUCUCAUUCCUCCAAAAUAUAACAUUGAUAUUAAAUUAACUCUUUUACAUCAUUCAUGUCCUUUCAUUUAACAACUAUAAUCAUCGAAAUAUAAAAGAUGAUAUAUCAAAAGGGUAUGCAACUAAGAAAUAAAACAUCUCGGGCGGUCUCUACCUAGGGCGCGAUGCCCUUACCGCGGUCGUCUGCCGGCUCGCUCGGUCCCGGCUCUGUGGAAAUAGAGGUGUGAGAACUACAACAAAGUUUUCAGUGGGUUCGGCAACCAACCACGCCGACUAUCCC
rnacentral:lncRNA from 1 species